UGUGUUGCUUUUUUGUUUGUUUGUUUUCUGGUUUGGGUUUGUUUAUUUGUUUUUUUUUUAACCCCUUCUGGACGGCACCAAGAGCUGUCGCUUUCCUCGGGAGAGAAAUCCACUGAUGAAGGGGAAAAAAAAUCACAAUUUGCCCAAGCGGAAGCAGCUGCCAUUGGAUUUGCAGUUAGAAGGGUUUGCGCUGGUUUCCUCACGUGGGUCCUUUGUGAAGAAACUUUCCAACUCCGUAGUGGGGAGAGGAUCUGCGGAGCUUUCGGGUGCUGGACUUUGACAGAACUCAAACUCAUUUCUCUGCUCAGGCCAGGCGCGGUGGCUCACGCCUGUAGUUCCAGACCUUUGGGAGGCCGAGGCG